GUUAAAGCUCCCGUAAAUGUGAUAUUUUUACGGUCAGAAAAUUCCGAAGUUCACUACUGGCCCUUCUGCCAGUCGCGGUCGCGGACAAGUAACCCUUCGAUACCGGCAGUCAACCCCGUAUCUCGAACAAAGUUGAUUUUGAUCAAUGGAACUUGCAAUAAAAUCGAAUGCUGAUAACGUAAAAGUGCUCAAAUUGCACUUGUUUUCGUAUGACCGAGUAGUUAUGUAU